rnacentral:rRNA from 1 species
GACAGAGGGUGCGAACGUUGCUCGGAAUUACUGGGCGUAAAGCGUGUGUAGGCGGCCACGCAAGUCGGAUGUGAAAGCCCUGGGCUCAACCCAGGAAGUGCACCCGAUACUGCGACGGCUUGAGUACCGGAGAGGUUGGUGGAAUUCUCGGUGUAGAGGUGAAAUUCGUAGAUAUAGGAAGGAAUACCAGUGGCGAAGGCGGCCUCCUGGAUCGACACUGACGCUGAGGCGCGAAAGCGUGGGGAGCAAACAGG